AGGCGCGGGUGCCGCUCAUCUGCCGCCCUUUCGCCCAUUUCUCUGCCCGCCCCAUUCAUGAACGCGCGCGCUCUUUAUCCAGCCUUCCCGCACUGCCACCUCCACCAAGCACAGGCAGCGGAGUGGCACACGCAAGACACCCCCACCCCCGAUUUCUGCUUUGUAUCGUACGCCAUAGGCACCUGAAAGUACUAUAGAGGACAGAAAAGCUGUCUAGGCACUUCAUGGAGGACAAGCUGCGAAGCCGCUGCUAGCCGUUCUCUCGGAGAACCUCACCCCACGCUGCUCUAGUUCUUCCGAUCUUCUCUCCAGGUGCUUUUCCGUGUUACCCCGCGUCCCUCUUCCCCUCUACCAGCACCCCUCGCGUCUCCGCCUUGUCUCGCUCAUGUUACACCGCAACCCAUGUCCGCCUCGUUUCCAUCUAUUCCGGGCUUUGCCGGCCCGCUGUCCCUCAAAGCCUUCCUGGAAGAGUACUUUGGCCUCCAUCUCACGUUUGCCGUAGAAACGGCGUCUCCAUCACCACGGGCAGCCGCAGCGGCAGAGGCACCGAGUGCUGCAGGGUUUCGUGCUUUGCGUGAUGUGGUGCUGCCGCCCAACCAAUCAUUCCUGGUCGUCGUGUACGUGGCGCUGCACGCCUCUUCUUCCCCUCCGCCUACCACAGCACACGCAUCCCCAACACCACCGACACCGGCUCCGGGUUGCGCCGCGUCUGCCACGGGGUUUGGGCGGCUUCGGCAGCCGCUGACCCAUCAGACGGCGGCAUCGACAGCUCACGAUACAUAUGUGGCACGAUGCAGCCCCGCCGACCGACCGAACUCUUCCUGUUCGUCUUCGUCAUCCACGGGCAAGAACGGCAACGCUCGUGGUCUCUGGCGUUCCUCCGCCUUUUGGCUUCUCUACACCAACACUUCUCAUCGACCCCUCACCGACGCUCUGCUGCGCCACCCGUGGUGGGCAUCGUUUGCCGCCUGCCUGGGUCCCGCAGCUAUGGGGUUUAUCGAGAUGUACUGCCCUAUUGUUCUUCAGCUGGAGGCGAUGGCUGGCGGGGUGCAGGUGCUCGGACCUGCCCUGAAACAUGCAGCAUUAGAGACGUCGUUUUCCGCGACGGCGCCGUCAUCGGAGAUGAAGGGCCCGCCGCCACAGGGAAGCGGCUAUGUCUCUUCACGUGGUGUGAAGCGUGCCGUCGACACAGGCGAAUGCUCCGGGUUUCUGCCGCUUCAAAAGCAGAGGCGUGUGGAGGCGCCGCCAAAGGCAAAGGCGGGACGAAGGCUCCAGCGAGGGGUCGUCCCGUGUAGCCGUCCACGCCGAGACGAUCCUUUUGCCAGUCCCGUGAACCGCGCGGCGAUGCCCGUCACCUGGGCGGCCGCGUUGACACGCACCGAUGUUCCGCGUACGCGACUCUACAGUGUGCGCGUCUCGGAUAGCGACGGCGCCGGUGACGGAAGCGGCGGCGCGCUUCCGCUGCCAGCGGGCUUCCUCGAGGCUCAGUGGCUUCGCCGCCAUCCGCAUAGUCUGCACCGCGUGCUGCAAGCCGCUCUGCCAAAGAGGGUGGCCUACGGGGCAUCUGCGCGGCGCUACUCUGUGGGUGCUAGCGAGAGGGUCACAGGAUGCACCAGUGUAGAGGACAUACCGAUGUGGCACGUGGCGCACGUCUUCCGUUGGUUAGUGCUGCAGCCUCCUCAGAGCGGCGCGGACGCUUCUCCGACAACCCCACCGAAGUUCGACUUGCCGUCCUACCUGCGCCGUCUUCUGUCGACUGUUGUCGACCAGUGCAGUCGCUUGGAUCUCCGCGGGGCCGCCCUAAAGCAUACCGGCUACCUGGAGGAAGCUUUCCGUCGUCAGCAGCAAGGCGUGGAGCCGUGGGAUGUGCAGCGGCUCUCCACCCCCGUCGAUGUGGUGGUCUCCUACCUGCGCACACUGCUGUCCACUCUACGCUGGGCACCUUUGAAGGAGGCCAAGAACAGGUCGUUUUGGGGACGCGAUGCAGCCGGUAGCGAACGUGUGCUCGACGCGCUCAUGGGAGCGGUGCGGAACUGGCUGAUCGCCGGCCGCCACGCCAUCGUUCCAGUCUCCCGCUUCUUGGACGGCGUGCCUGUGGCUCAGGUGCCGUGGCUAAACGGAUUCUACACCACGACCCCUUCGCUGCCGUUCUCAGCAGCGACUUCGUCCGCGGCUCGUCACGCGCGCCGCGAGCGCUCGCACGUUCAGCAGCGUGUUUGGCUUCAGUUCGUCUUGUUCCUCACGCAGGACAUACUGCCUUUCUUGCUGCGCGCGUCCUUCACGAUUACGUGGAGUUCCAAGAAUACGCACAAACUUCUUUUUUUCCCUGCAUUUGUGUGGCGUAGACUGAUCCGCCGCGAGGUGCGUCGUACUCGAUCUUGUGGUGCCCCGCGUUCGCAGAUGCCACUGGCCGGGGAAAGCGCUCGCAGUGUUGGUGCUGAGCGUGUUGCGUUGUCCUCGGCACCAUGCGCAUGUGAAGGCGCGGCUACGGCUGCGCUCCCCACGCCCCACUCAGCGGCUUCCAAGGCAUCUGCGGCCAUUUCUGCACCGAGAGACGUAUGGCGCGCCGUUCGUACUGGCGGUGUGUUGGCGCAUCGGGGCGCGCGCGCGACCCUUGCCACACGCGGCGGCGGUGCAUCCUGCCUGUACGCUAGCGUUCGCUUCCGCCCUGACCGGCGCAAGCUGCGACCCAUUGCCGUGGUGCGCAGCGCGUCUCUGCGGUCGUUGAAAGAAAUGGCCCGUGGCUCACCGAGCCCGUACAGCCACGCAAGCGCCAUCGUACGCUUGUUGUGCAGACUAGGGUGCAGUGACACCGAUGGUCAGCUGCCGGCUGCGACAGCGACACUGCUCAGGCGGGUGCAGGCACGCAGCCGUCACAACCACCAUACUGGCGUUCAUCGCUUUCCCCACCCGCUGCCCCCGCACCUUCCGCACAAGGCAGCAUUGCGGGACGCACUGCGCUGCUUGGUAAGCGGAGUGGAGGAGCAGCGCGUGCGGGACGGUCUGCCUCGCCUGAGCAACCUCUCCCACCAAGACGAGUACGCAGAGCUGCGCAGUUUUUGCGAGGAGGUGCGGAGGAGGCCCGCUCUGCCGUGCGAAGGUCCUGCGGGGACAGCGCCAGUGGUUUCAUCCGCGUCACCGCCGAGCGCGGCUGCCUGUUGUUUCGCGCCUUACGUUACCCUCGUCCGCAGCGAUGCCUCGCGUUGCUACGAUAACUUACCACAAGAGCGGGUGCUCGCAGCAGUGGCGUCUCUGGUGAAGCAUGACGCCUACCGCGUGCUUCGCUUUACCGCCAUUCACGCCCUGGAUGGCGAGGCAGCGUGCAAGGGUGGGUGCCUGCUCCGGCGCACCUUCACGACGCGCACCAUCGCGUGCGCGGAGGCGGAGUGCGGCGUUCUGGCUCGAAUUCCUCGCGGCCACAUCUAUUGGGAGGAGGAGGAGGAGGGGCGCACACUGAGUGGGCCCCAUACCACCGCUGCCGUUUCUCGCACAACCAACGCUAGCAGCCGCUGCGGCGCGAACCUGAUUUCCGGUGCCGCUGUCCGCGCACUCCUGAGCGAACACUUACGGCACCAUCUCGUUGUCGUGUCGGGAGGCAACUUGCUCGAACAGCGCGUCGGAAUCCUGCAGGGCUCCCCGGUGGCGAUGCUCCUGUGCGACCGCCUCUUCUCCGACGUCGUGGACACAGCUCUGUCGGGUAUCCUGAGCGAGCACGCGGAGCGGUCGCUGCUGCUGCGUCGGGUCGACGAUGUGCUUGUUGCCACCACAUCACCCGCUGCGGCGGAGAGGUGCCUGCAGGCGAUGCAGCGCGGCUGGCCUUCGGUGGGGUACCUGAGCAACCCGAGCAAGUUAACGCUGUCGACGGCAUGCGGCAGCCUCGUUCCCUGGUGCGGUCUUCUCCUACACGACACGACGCUCGAGGUCAGCGUGGAGUGGCGGCGUAUUGGGGUUCUAUUGGCGUCUCUCCGCGUCGGCGAUCCCCACUACGUGCAUCGUGGGGAUCACGAGCCGUUGUACUUGACGCAGCGCUUUCUUGCAGUGUUGCAGCUGCGUGUGGCACCCACGGUGCUGUGCGGACGUAUGAACUCCAAAACCCGUCAGCUGCAGACCUUCUACGAGGUUGGUCUGCUGUGGAGCCGUGUGGUGCUGGAGAAGGUGCAGGAGGCCUUGCCGGCGGCGCGUAAUCGCUGUGUGGCGGUGCUACUGCUGCAUCCGCUCGCCGUAUGCGUGGGUCGUCUGUGUCGGCUGUUGAAUCGUCAUCAGCGCUUUCUAGCGGCCCGGAAGUCUGCGUGCGACGUGUCGGCUGCCGAGGUGCGGGCCUGCGUUUUAACAGCACUUCAUCGCACGGUGCAAGCCAAGUUGAGGGUGCUACAGGCUCGCACCGUUCGCGUGAUGACCGCGCAGAGAGGGCGGACACCGAGAGGGACCUCUCUGAAAGGGCGACAGAAGCCCCCUUGCACCAACAAGGCAUCGUCUGCUGGAUGCAAGUAUUGCGAGCGACGCCGCAAAGGCCGUAAUCGUCGUUGUAGCACGCGUGUCUGCUUGCGCUCCUUCUGGUGGUUGGCUGCCGCAGAGGUCGAGUUGCAGUGGCGCCGCUCCCUCGGAGCCCUGCACAGAGCAGCACCACACCCUGGCGAAGCGCGCGGGUCGACCGCACCUUCACUUUCACCGAGUGCGUCGGCAUCAUUGCUGAUGGAAGAUGGCCCUUUAUCGAUGCACGCGCGUGCGCUAAGCGCGACGCGACUCUCGCAGACUUGAGGGAAAGUGAGAAGCACUACUUCGAAUGAUGUGUGCUCAUGUAUGUGCCCCCUCGGUAAGUGUUGGGGUUACCUCUGAUGGUGCCUCGGUAUCUACUGCGUCUGGUCCAUACUCCGCUAGAUCCUCCCCUGCGUGUGGCUGUCUACCCUACACUGACCUGCAGUGCAUACUCGCGCGCGCGCACACACAGAGAAACGGUAACGCGUGCAGUGUUGGUGAGCUGAUUGCGGUCACACACACACACACACACAUACACAACGCAGUGGUGGUGCACAUCAAGUGCGACGUUACGUAUCACUGCUCUGCUUCCCAAUAGGGUUCGUGGCCCUCCUCGUUGGCUGCUGCGAUUUUCCAGCAGACGUCAACGUGGUGUCUCCGUCGCCCGCAUCACUGUGCUCUUGUGCUUCACUGCCAUGGUGUGGGAGCGCCACCACCACUGCACAUGCAUGGACCUCGUACAGCUUCUCUCAUGCCUGCCGCAGCUUUUCUCUCUGUUCACUUGCUCUGUCUGCUUCCUUCUUUUCCCCCAUCACGUGUCCUGCGGUGUACCGCCCCGCACGUCCUUUUGCCUUCUCAG
rnacentral:misc_RNA from 1 species